rnacentral:pre_miRNA from 1 species
AUCGCGUAUCGCCCGUGUGUGCUCGCAUAAGAAGUACUCACCGGGAGAAAUGCGAUGU